rnacentral:rRNA from 1 species
GAGUUUGAUCCUGGCUCAGAACGAACGCUGGCGGCGUGCCUAACACAUGCAAGUCGAACGUGAUCCAGAGCUUGCUCUGGUGAAAGUGGCGCACGGGUGAGUAACGCGUGGAUAGCCUACCCUGGUAUCCGGGAUAACAUUCCGAAAGGGGUGCUAAUACCGGAUAAGCCCACGGGCUCUUUGGAGCUUGCGGGAAAAGGUGGCCUCUAUUUAUAAGCUACUGUAUCAGGAUGGGUCCGCGUACCAUUAGCUAGUUGGCGGUGUAACGGACCACCAAGGCGACGAUGGCUAGCUGGUCUGAGAGGAUGAUCAGCCACACUGGAACUGAGACACGGUCCAGACUCCUACGGGAGGCAGCAGUGGGGAAUUUUGCGCAAUGGGGGAAACCCUGACGCAGCAACGCCGCGUGAGUGAUGAAGGCCUUUGGGUCGUAAAGCUCUGUCAGAGGGGAAGAAAUGAUAUAGUGCUAAUACCACUUUAUCUUGACGGUACCCUCAAAGGAAGCACCGGCUAACUCCGUGCCAGCAGCCGCGGUAAUAC